GCGACUCAUGCAGGCCCUGUUAAAGGGAAAUCCUUCAAGCGAAGGGGGCAGGGCUCAGCUGCCGUUGGGUCGGCGACUGCUGGCCAUGCCUCGCCGAUUCCUGUCACUGAAUCGGCGACUCGUGUGCUGGAGUCGGCGACUCCUAUGCUGAUAGAUGAUUCUUCCGCGCGUCGCACCGCACCAUUGGUCGUGAGCGCGGAAGGCCGUAUUGUGUCGGGACUGAACCCGAAUCAAGGUCCUUCUCUGAAGCGAAAGAGAAGGCGUACCACGGGAAAGGGCAAAGUACAUGUGCCCGAAGAGAAUGAAAGGGUCCCACCUCCUCUAAAUAUAAACUUCGAGGAGAUACUGACUGUGGACCG
rnacentral:lncRNA from 1 species